GCCGAAGUGGCGGAAUGGCAGACGCGGCGGAUUCAAAAUCCGCUGUCCGCAAGGGCUUGUGGGUUCGAGUCCCACCUUCGGUACCG
rnacentral:tRNA from 1 species